rnacentral:rRNA from 1 species
UACGUAGGGUGCAAGCGUUGUCCGGAAUUAUUGGGCGUAAAGAGCUCGUAGGCGGUCUGUCGCGUCGGAUGUGAAAAUCCAGGGCUCAACCCUGGACCUGCAUUCGAUACGGGCAGACUAGAGUUCGGCAGGGGAGACUGGAAUUCCUGGUGUAGCGGUGAAAUGCGCAGAUAUCAGGAGGAACACCGAUGGCGAAGGCAGGCCUCUGGGCCACUACUGACGCUGAGAAGCGAAAGCAUGGGGAGCGAACAGG